UAUGUACAUAAUACACUAAAAUCAUAAAAUACAUAUAUAAAAAACACAAUACAAUAUAUUUAUUUAGAACAUUUUUUUUUUAAUCAUAUCACUCUAUCAAUUAAGUCACUUUAUUUCUCUUCCCUGGUGAAAAUGGAAAAUUGGAGCGUAAGUCGAAUGUAAAGGGAGAGUAAUAGAAGCGUUAACAAACCUUUUACGAAGCGUAAAUUGAAACAAUGAAAUGUAAAAGAAGUGUUAACGCUAUAUAUAUAUAAUAUACACGUGCGUGCAAUACUGUGUAAAUCCUUGUUAUUAAAAAUUAAAAAAUGCUUCUAAUUUUAAUCUGUUAUUGAUUGUUUUAAAUAUAUAAUUUAUCGGGUAUCCAUUUUCCAGUAAUGUUUUUAUUAUUUUUGUUAUAUUUUUUUGAUGAAAUUUUGGGUGUGAUGGGAACAGUGUGCUGUCCAGUAGACCAAUAAUAACUCCCUUUUUGUGGAUUAAUGGAUGGUGCGAAUAAAAACUGAGGUACCUAUCUGAAGCAGUCGGUUUCUUAUAUAAAUCAAAUAAAAUUGUUGUUUACAAAUUUUUAACAUUUGACGAGACUAUUGUCUCAGUUCCUUUACUGUUUACUUUUAUAGUCUCAUUUAUUUUAAUUUUAAUUUAAUUUUUAUUUUUUUCAUUUUUCAUUUUUAAGUUUAUUUAUUCUCAUUAUUUAAAAAUUAUUAUUUUAAUCAUUGACUACAAACGUUUAUAUUUCGUGACAAUAUUAGGACGAACAAUGACACCUAUAAAUAAAGAAAGAAUACCAAGGACUUUCACGGAUACAUAGAAAUUAAUUCCACUGUUUAACAGCAAUAUUGUGAAAAAUGGGAAGGAACGACAAAUGUCUAGAUAUACCAUAAGCAUAGGAAAGAAUUUUUAGUAUGUAUAAGAUUAUCACACACUGAGAAUGGCCGAAGAAAAUGUGCCGAAACGUCUGUAAUGAAAAAGCUCUGUAGAAGAAAUAUACUUUAUAGCAAACA